AACUGUAGGAUCAUGUAUUAGGGAGGGUUCAGACCAUACUGAAUCUUGAAACCAUGACACUGUUGAAAGCUCCACAAAACCCAAUAUUUAUUACCAAGAGG